rnacentral:lncRNA from 1 species
GAGCAGUAAGCCAGGUACUGGACCACUAAGCCCUCCAGAAAGACCCAGUUGGUCUGGUCCCUCAGGGCAGCAGCUCUGGGGGGCACCGCCACAGCUUUUCACUGUGGAGAUCAGCAGCAGCAGCAGGUAUGGCAGCAUCCUGACCUCACAGGCCUUCCUGCCUUGCAUGGAGGAGCCAGGCAGGAGAGGAGCAAGACCUGUAGAAGCCUGGGUGAUAGUAGACUACUUGUGAGCUGGUGUGAGUCACGCUCAGCAAAGGGGGAAGAAGCAGUAAAAUGGGGUUAGAAUCAUUCCUGGGACUCUGUUUGUAACCAAGGGUUCUAGGGAAGACUGGUUACAGAAGUGAUCUUGGUGUUGAGCACUUAAAGGCCCAAGAUGGACCGGUUCUAUGAAGGUCGGCAGCAUGAGUAUGGUGUCACGACUCAGACAGGAUCAGAGUCAUCAUUGGAUCCCUGGGCCUCUCACCCAGGACCCCAGGUGCCCACCUUUGAAGCUUUCAUCUUCACUCCUGACUGACUGAUUGGGGCUCCAUUGGUGAGCCCGACUCCUGAUCCAAUCCAGGGCUCCAGAUGACAGUCUGUUGAAGAAUGGGCAGCACAGAUUGUGAUUCUUGAGAUUCUGAGUAUACUCUCGAAGCUGGAUUAGUGUCCUAGGCUUCUCUGCUUGUAAGAACUGGGCUAUAAUCCCAGGCAA